GGUGGGCAUGUGGACCCCUGUGGAAUGGUGGAACAGAUGUAGGGACCCCGGUGGGGUGGACACACAGACCCCAUUGGGUGGAUAUGCAGACCCUGGUGGGAUGGGUACACAGACCCUGGUGGGAUGGACAUGGGGACACCAGUGGGACCAGGCACCACAUCCAUCCUCUGGUGAUGCUGGAACCAGCCCAGCACAUGGGACCAAGGGAAGGAGCAAUGCCCCAGCUGUGUUACCUCCUCUCCUGCGACAGCUGAGAGCUGAGUCAUUGGAAGCAGGUGGGAAUCAUUUGUGGUUUAAAGGAGCUGCUCUACAAAAAGACCAGUGUGUAAAGGGGAGCAGGGUUGGGUCAUGAUGAGCAGCACCUGAGCUGCUCCUCCAUAGAGAAAGCUGAUGGGGAGAGGUGCUCCCAGCUGCAUCCCUCACUGCCACAGCUCCGAGGCCCCUGGGGACAGGAGUACAACAUGUAUGGUUGGUGGGUCGGGGAGCUCAACAGCACCGUCGGGAUCGUCCCCAAGGAUUACCUGGCGGCUGCCUACGAGCUGGAGGAGCGGUGAGGACGGCGGUGCCCAGGUGCUCGCCUCUUCCCCUUGCCCACGCUGCGAUGCCACAAAGACCCUCCCCAGCCCCGGGAUCCUGUUCCAAGAAGAGCCCCGCGUGCCACCACCCGGACCCUGGUCAGCCCUCGGUGCUCGGGUACCACCGACCCCGUCCUCCCCCCACUUUCCGGGGCCGGCAGUCCGCAAUAAACCCGCUCUCCCCCCCCGCCAACCACGUUGGGCCGCCCCGGCCCCGUCUCCUCUAUCCCCUCCGA